UGAAAUUCCGUCUCAAAACAAAAAGGGAAACUAAGGAGCAACCCGGAUUCAGCCACCAUAUGGUUGGAAGGUCACUAUUACAGAAUUGAAAGGACAACAAUAGUUUCUGACCACUGAAUAUUGACCACUGACCACUGACCACAUUGCAGGCCGACCACAUGAAGUCCCUACCACACAUCUAACUCAUUUAAUCUUCACAGGGUCUCUGUGAGGUAGGAAUUAUUAUCUCUGUUUUACAGAUGAGGGGUGCCAUAUUCAGAAAGGCUAAGAAACGUGACUAGGGUCAUACAGCUGGUACUUGUUAGAGCCAAGAUUUUAAUCCAUCCCUAUCUGACUCUAAAGCCUAUGUUCUUGUCACCUUCCAACCACCUGGCCUCUCCACAUGUGCUAUGAAAUCCUCCUGGUGCCUGCAAAGAAAUUUACAGUGAAACCUCCAAAUUGAAGCUUAUUUUUUUAGUUUAUAUACCUCCCGCUCAAGAUAAAUAGUCAUCAAAAUCUCCAAAGUAAAAAAGAAAGAGUGAGGGAAAAAUGGCUAAAAUCCGGUACUCUGAUCACAAGCCCAUCUGGGAUCUUUCAGAUGCCGAAAAUUCCAGAAGGCUAGAUAGUCAAGUUGCAGCUUAGAAGUUGCGAUUCAGAAAUCUUUAUUGAAAUAACAGUUUAUUCCCCGCCGAGGACUCUACUGGUAUAACAGAUGAGAGAUGAGAGUGCCUACUAGGGAAGAAAAUAGCAAGAAAGCGAGUGAUGUUACUCUAUCAGGGAAUCUAGAACAAACCCACAGAUGAUCCAUAGGGAUGGAGUGUGUGUAUGGGGAGGUGGGCCAGAUGAAACAAGAAAGGCAGAAAGUUAAUGGUUGUUGAAAUUGAAUGACGGACACUUGGAGUUCAUUGUGCCAGUCUGUCUACUUCUGUGUGUGUUUGAAAAUCUCACACAUGUACACAAAGCCAUGACCCUCCAACUAGAUGACAUCCUUAGAUGUUAAUGGCCUGGGUUCCAUGCCUUCUUAGACACAGCACCCUUAUAGGGAGAGGUCAAGGCUGAAAUCUGGUGGUUCCUCCACCCUAUCCUGGUGUGUUCCCUGCUGGCCUCUCAGCAAGGGUCUCAGUAUGCUCCCACAGUCAAAACCUGGCUGCAAAUUCUGCUUUUAUAGAAGACCUUCUAUAAAUGGUUGAAACUACUGUUUUUCAGAAUCAGGAAGGAGCAUUCAAAACACUGCUAAACCCUCAAACUAGAACAAGAGAAAGAACAGGCUGAAUCAGCAUGCGACAGGAGCCUGGUUAGUGAGCUGACUCUGAGGUUACUUGUGAGGAUGAUGUCACUGUGUGGAAUAAGGAAGCUGGCAACGCCCCAGAGCCAGUGUGCGGCUGUGCUGGGAGGGAGGUGGCCCCUUGGUGCCGAGGAAAGGACAAACCCCAAGCAGAUAUUUGUCAGACUGUGGCCAGACACAGUCUUGUUCCUUUAACACUUUAAAGGACAAAUGGAAAGAUGAGCCAAGCCCUAAUCAUCUGAAGAAGCCAUGCCUCUGAGAAGUCUGAGGGAAGAUAUAUUGAAAACGACCUCAGUUAUGGUGAGACAGCUUUGUUUGAUUGACCCAAAGGCAGAGACACAGGUGUACUGCAUCCUUCAGGAAGCAAGUUUAGAAACAAGAUCUGCAAGUCACAGGAUGUGACAGGUCUGCAAAUCCUGCAAGUCACAGGUCAUCCACAGUGGGCUAGUCUAGCUGCUUCCAGAAUGUUGCCCAUGAAAGGUGGGUCAUGGGUUCGCAGAGCAUUCCUGUGUUGCAUAGCCAUAGGUUUCAUCCCUAGCUCAGGUCAGCAACUUUUGAAGUAUAUACCAAGGACCACAAGUUCAAGGAGGUGGGCAGAAGACAGAAUGUGAUGCAGUCAUGCAGAUCCAUCACUACUAUUCAAAACACAGUCCAGAGUGCCUUCCAAGGGCUUUCUGUUCCACUGAGAAUAAAAUUCAAAUCCUCACAAAAGAUCUCAGGGUGCAACAGGACACCUGGCCUCUGCUCAUCUCUGUCCCCUCAUUUCCUCCUGGCCCACCUGCUCUAGCAAUGUUCCUUGAACUCACCAAGCUCAUUCCCGCUUUAAGACCUUUGCACCCGCAGCUCCCUAAGUCUUUGCAUGAUUACACAGAUCAAACAGAUCUCAGAUCAAAGGUCGUCUUCUCAGGCCUUUCCAGACCAUGCUAGCUAAAGUAGCAUCCCCAGUCACUUUCUAUUAUAUUUUGUUUUCUUUUUUAUAUCACUUGUUACUAUCUGAUGUUAUUAUUAAUUUGAUUGCUUUUUAGUGAACCAUCUCUCUCCAGUAGAAUGUAAGCUCCAUGAGGGCAGAAUCUGGACUGUCUGGCUCACCGCCGCAUCCAUGGAACCCAGGAUAAGGAAUACCUGUUGAUGAAUAAAUAACCCUCCGGAUAGAGGCGACCAGACGCGUAUACCUAAGAUCUCUCUUAAAGAUCCAGGAGAAAGGAAUUCAAGACAUCAAGCCAAAUCCCCGAAGCUGUGCUAGCUGUUUAGGAAAAAACCCUCUCCAGGCUGGGAGAAAACGAGACCUUCCUGACUGAUCACGUUGUCAUCCUGGUGAUUCUGCUCUUCGACCUCUCCACACCCUUCAGGGAUUGAGGCAAAGAACGCACUGUGCUCAUGAGCCCUAGGCACAGAGCUCAGUUUCACAGUCCUUGCUGCGCUGGGCGUCCUUCCCAUGACACCCCUUUGUAUCAACAGGACCACUCUGCAGACUCCUCUUGGUCAGGGAUCACCUUAGGGCCUGUGCAACUGCAAACUCCUUCCUAGCACACUUCACAGAGGCACCUAGGCCCUGCUUUCUGCAACUCGCACCUCCUAAGAAUCAUGUGAACUUAAGCCAGUAGGUUUAGAAAAGCAAAGGCCAAGCUUCUUAGAGGCAUUUUCAGGGAAAAUUUUCAGGAUGUCAUCAGGAUUUUACAAUUUCAGUCCAAAUUUUGGUUUGUUUUGUUUUUUUGUUUGUUUGUUUGUUUUUUGAGACAGUCUCACUCUGUC